UACAGAGGUCCCAAGCGUUGUUCGGAUUCACUGGGCGUAAAGGGUGCGUAGGCGGUCGGGUAAGUCUGAUGUGAAAUCUCACAGCUUAACUGUGAAACUGCAUUGGAUACUAUCCGGCUCGAGGAAUGGAGGGAGACUGGAAUACUUGGUGUAGCAGUGAAAUGCGUAGAUAUCAGGAGGAACACCGGUGGCGAAGGCGGGUCUCUGGCCGAUACUGACACUGAGGAGCGAAAGCGUGGGAGCGAACAGG
rnacentral:rRNA from 1 species